rnacentral:lncRNA from 1 species
UUUCUUUUCUUCUUCUCUCUAUACGUUGGUGUUCUAACCAAUAAUCACCGAGGCGAUGCUCUGUCCGAUCGAUUCAGGAACCAACCAACGGAUGCCAAAGUAUUAUACUUUGUGAAUUUCGUUAAACGGAAUCCAAAGUACUAUACUUUGUGAGUUCGUUAAACGGAUGCCAAAGUACUAUACUUUGUGAUUUCGGUAAAACGGAAUCCAAAGUGUUACACUUUGUGAAAUUCGUUAAGGUUCGAAUCUCGUGACUACCGUUAAGGUUUGAUUUGGGUUUUACACAAAUACGUAUUCCAUUCUGUUAAACUAUAUGUUUAACUACCAAAAAUACUCCCAACUACACACUCACAAUCAAACAAACUAUUAAAUCAUCAGAAGAUCCAGAAUAAUAAAGUGCAUGCUUAAUUAUCGGAAGAAGUAGAAUCAAGAAGCUUGUUAACUCAAUCUUGCAUGCUUAUAAAGUAAUUACAGUGGAUUGGAACAAGAGUUGGAUCCAGCACUGAAGGACUUCAAGAAGUGGCUUAUUUCAUUAAUUAAAUCAAAUUAAGAAAUCUCGUUUUUAUAUUAAAAGCUACCUUUGUAAAACAUGGGUUUAUCCCAUCUAUUUAAUAAAUAAAAUCCGGUGU